AAGGACUGCGUUACUAAGAGGUAGUUUUGUUUGGUAGCUCGUUAAAUUUUGAGGUUUCUAGACAACAGUUAAAAAAUUUUGUCGUUUGUGCUUUUUGAAAGCAGAUUUGCAGAAGCACACAGCAAAAGCAUCACAGAAACAGAAUCCAUGAGCGAGAGGAGCUGUGGAGAGAAGCAGCAGAAAGCAAAAAGCAACAUGUACAGUGUCAGUUGUGGAGCAGCAGUUGCUCGAAGUGGUUAUCGUUUGUGCUUUUUCCCUUAGUGCUUUUUGGCACGAGGGACCAAUGCCAAAGUGGGUUCUCUAGAAAUAGAAAACAUUUCCAAAAACGAUCAUAUAUUAAACGCGGCUAUGAAUAGUGCAGCACCGCCGGGUGUGUUGGGACUACCCUAUCGAUUUUCGGAUGAGCGUACGGUCAAGUUCGUAGAGCUUUACGGACGGGAACCGUGUCUCUGGAACAAGCGACCCUACUUGCGUCGAGCUCGAAACGCCGCCUAUCGGCGAAUUCAGUCCGGGAUCAAUGCUGAUAUCGAACCAUACGAAUCAGGUCUUACCAUCCAGGGCGUCAAGAUGAAGAUCAAGAAUCUCCGUACUGGGUACCACCAGGAGCUGAAGAAGAUCCGAACUAUUCCGGGAUAUCAGCCUAAGACGCCCUGGUUUGCCCCACUUCACGGAUUUUUGGCAGAGUUCUUGGACAAGAAUGAGUUGGAAACAUCAAUUCCUCAACUAAAGCGUCUACAGAUUCGGCUUACCAGACUGAAGCCAAUUAAGAUUCAGACGGAGAUUAAGCCAGAUCCCGAUGACUUGUCUGCCCCCGAAAGGCCGUUGGAUCCUACACCCUCUUCCUUGUUUACCGUUCUGCCAGCACCUAUGCCCAUGGAGGAGCCUCCCACUCCACCGCCCUCCCUGUCCAAGAUCGGAGACAUCAUCUCACCAGCACAUCCAGCACCAGCGCCUGUUCCGAUGGCAGGGAACUGUCCUCUGUCGACAGCCUGCUCCAUUUCUGAAAAAAGUGAUGUCUUGGGAUUGGGCCUGGGAUCAUCGGCAGCUGGACGGACGAAUGGAAUUGGCCUCGGAGUUGAAAUGCGAGGCGAGGACGAAUUCACCUACUUCGGGUUGAGCGUUGCCGCGCAAAUCCGUAAUAUGCCAUUGGCCAGUGCCAUGCUAAUGCAGUCGAAAAUCCAGUAUAUGCUCUCUAUGGAGCGUCGUAAGAUAAAUGGCCAUCCUGGCGAUAUGGACAUAUUAUUUACCUAAAAACUAAGAUUCUUUUGUAAAUUAUGGAGAUUACAUUCCUUUAAAUCAAUCUGUGAAUAUGAUUGUACGUUAUUUGCUUGUAUAAUUUGGCAGAACAUUAACCGUGCUUAUGUGAUGUGUUCUUGUUAGAAAACACUCUUGAAGUAUCAUAUUGGAUUAAACUCAACGACAAAGCAACCUCGUGUGAAAUAUAAGUUACAAUAAGUUUAUGAUAAGUGCGAAAAUAAGAAGAAAAAUAUAUUUUUGUUCAUACCAAAUCGAAGACUUCGAAUUUAAUUUGAUGUAAAUUAAACCUUUUGUGUACUUAUUAUGUACCUACGGACAGCAAAAAUAAAACAACAAAAUAUUUAAAAGUAAUAUAAAUUAUAAUUCAUUUGAGUUGGCUUAUCUAGGGGCUUCGAUUUGCGAGCGUUCACUGUGCCGCCGGAAGAAAAGCAGAAAAGCAAGACGGCAAAAACAUUGCGAGUGGGAGAAAGCAAAACUGUACUGUACAGCGAACCACCGAAUAGAGGCACUCUCUUCGACCGACUGAGUGUGUUGGUGAGCAGAGUAAAAUACACGCGUGUAAAGUGCGUGUAAAAUGUGACAUAAUGUAAUGCCAAAUGUGACGCAUUCACACACACACACACACACACCCGCUGUAUGUGCUGAAUAAAUUCUCAGGAGAAGAGAAAACCGAGACUCUGAAACCGGACGACGAACGACAACAAAACGCACGACUGUUGUUGCUUUUGCUUAUCAACUUCGCCAGUUUAUUCGCAGCAUAUCAACACCCUACGCGAAAUCGCAAGUCGGGCUUAACGGUUCUUGCAGACCCUUCGCAUGUGACCUUCAAAAUGACAACCAAUACUCGAGACUAACCUCGGACACAAACUUCAUGAAAACAUCUAAAAAAAAAUAGGUUUUUAAAGACCACUUUAGUUUGGUAAUUAGAACUUAGUCAAAGUUUAUUUUGAUUAAAUAAAGAAUUGUAAAUAACAAAAUGAUAUUUUAAAAUAAAUUUGAUCCAUUAAACUGAUAUCUAUGGCAGUGGCUGGAUCACAUUAUCAUUUCUAAAAAUUA
rnacentral:misc_RNA from 1 species